rnacentral:misc_RNA from 1 species
AUUAAAAAGAAACAAAAAAAAAGUUCUGGAACUGCUAGAGUGAAGAUAGACCAAUAGAAGAAGAGGAGAGAGGAGAAAAAAAAAAAUUAAAAAGCAAAAAAAAAAAAGUGAGGGGAAAAUACUGGUUGCGUAGGUGAGGGGAGGAGAUUAAUUUGCGCAGGUGAAUAGAAUAAGAUUAGAGGAGAGAGAGAGAGAGGAAAGAAUGUGAGGAUGAGAGAAAGAGAGAGAAAGGAAGGAAAAAAAAACACCUGGUUGCUUUCUUUCCCUGGUCUUUGUUUCUCUUUGCAUUCUGCACUCUGUUGGUGGCGUAAAGUGGAGCUACUUUAGGUUUUUCUUUUGUUUUAUGCUAUUAAAAAAUUAAGAAAAGGGAGAAAGUGUCUGUUAGUUUUAAGCCUCAACGCCCUAUCGCCUAUUGCCUUGAAGGUCUCAGGCGCUCACCUUUUUUCAAUUGCCUUGCCUCAACCAGGCUCGCCUCGCCAGGCGCCCUUUUGCGCCUUUUACAACACUGAACUUAUGAAUCAUUGCAUGGCAUAAAAUGUAGUCAUUUUAUAAUUAAAAAUCACAAUUUGCAUAAAUCCUUGUUAUGGAUCAAGGAAAAUGCCCAAAAGGAAAUGUGAGAGGCUUAGGACAGCUCAAAGUAUGUUACAGUGGAAGAAAAGAAAAAUGAGGGAAUCCAAUAAUAUAUUAACGAAAAAGGCAGCAAAGGAAGAUCUAAGAAGCACGCAAAGAGGAGAAAGGAAGAAAGAUCUCAUGCCAGAAGGGAAGGUUUUAGGAGCUUACAAAUAGAACCAAAGAUUGAGGGAAGGGGCACGCAUUUGUUUCCUUUGAUUUUCUAGCAUUUGUGCUUGAGACAAAAACAUUGGUCUUGCUCAUGAGAAAGCUCCUGGAUUAAGGAUUCUAGUUGUUAAUUUCUUUUAUUUCUAGAUUAGAUGUUCAUUGAGAGAUAGUUGAGGGUAUUUUGCUUUUCUAAUCAUAGUUAUAUUAAGAAAUCAAUGCAGGUUUUGUUUAUAUUCCCUUUUCAAUUCUUCUUCAUUCAUUACUCUUUAUCAAUUUGGUUUGACUUGUUGGAUCAUGACGAGAUCGUUAAUGCCAACUACUUGAUUGGAGUCACGAGAAGAGAUGAUAUAGAGGAACCUAGCAACUUUGAAGGAGAGAUUAUUCCAAUUGCAAGGGGACAAGGUUUAAAAAAAAGGAAAAUAAAUGGAAUCAAGGAAGAGACAGCACAAACAAGGAAGAGACUGGGGAAGUUGGAUACUAUUGAGGGAUUGCUUACCUCUCUAGUGAAGGACAAGUCUACCGAUAGAGAUAUGGACAUAGCGACUGCGACUCACAUAAGCUUCAGCCUCCAGGGAGAAGCUUCUACCAAUUGAGACCAACCAAGGACUACAAAAAGGGAUCACCUCCCUCUUGUUGCGAAGAGAGUGGAGUUGCCCAUUUUUUAUUGCCAGGACACCAUUGGGUAAUUUGAGUGGACUAGUAUUUUGCCAUUCAUCAGACCUGUGAUGAGGCGAAAGUCCCCAUAGCUAUGAUGUGUAUGGAAAGCAUCACAUUGCAUUGGGUGUGAUGGUUGCGUCAAUGAUCUUCCACCGUGAUUUGGGAAUAGCUAUCUAUGGAAUUGAUGCAACGAUAUGGUGGAGACAUGCUGGCUAGCCCCUAUGAAUGUCUAGCUAUUGUUCAACAGGAGAACUUUGUGGGUGAAUUUAUUGACACAUUUGUUGCAUAGGCUACAUAGGCCUUGAGCUUCUCUAAUCAACAGUAUUUGGUUAUUUUCAAAUGGGUUAUGCGAAAAGAUCAGAAUCCAGAUUUGUAUACAGGACUCCACUGAUAUCUUUCACACUAUGAACUUAGCAUGAGAAAUUGAAAGGGAGUUGUAGUAUACUUUUUUUUUCUAGAGCAAUGGAGAAGAUGAAAUGCGUUGGUAAAUGGGCUCAUGGUUAUGGACUAGGCCCACAUGAUGGGUUUAGUUCAUUAAUUAGUGGCCUAACCCAUGGAAGUUUGAAGGGAUUGUACCAAAAGCUCCAAAUAGAUAGAAAGGUGGGCCUCCAAAAUUAACCCGUCCUCCUUCAAUUUCUAUACAAAAACUAUCAGCAAGAACACUGAAAACGAGGGAAUACGUCAUUACUCACACCUUUGAUUUGCGAGCUAAAGGGUUAUGUUAUCUGUGCAUGCAGCCUUAUCACCCAAUGCAUGAAUUGCCCAAUAAUACAAUAAGAGCAAUUUUUAUGAGUGAUGAUGAGGAAGUGCUAGUAGAUGGGUACCAUGGACUCACAGACUCUGAUGUGGAGAUUCUGGAAAUCUCAGACAAGUCUCAUUUUACUUAGCUAGAACUCUUUUUUACUGAAUAGGAGGUUUUGUAAACCAAAAACCAUGAAGUUGAAAGGCGGGGUUUAAGGACAAUUUCUGGUGGUAAUGAUUGAUAGCGAAGCUGGCUACAAAUUCUUCGCCAUCGAUUUUGUGAAAGAACUGCAAUUACCAGUGGAACCGACACCACCCUUUGGAGUUUGAUUGGGAGAUGGACGUUGAGCUAAGUAUAUGGGAAUUUGCAAAAAAAUUGUGUUUGGAAUUGCAUUCUUUGCAUAAUGAAGCAAAUUGCUACGCAUUUCCAUUAGGGAGGUGUUGAAGUCAUUAUAGGUAUUGGUUGGCUGUAAACUUUAGGUGACGUUCGAAGUAAUACAGCCAAUAUGAUGAUGUCAUUUCAACACCAAGGUAAUUUAAUUACUUGAGUGGAGAUCCUUUGUUAACUAAAGCCUUGGUUUUCUUGUCCACUUUGAACAAAUUUGUAGACAUGAUGUUCUAUGCCUUGCUGUUGGAACACUCUGGAAGCAAAUUCAAUAAUUCCUUUGAAAUAGAGCUUAUUGCACGCUAGCAAUAGGAGCUCCCGCGCCUCAUGCAACACGCAUCCAUCUUUGGUGAACCUAUCACCUUUCCUCCAUAUCAUUCGACUGAUAUUGUCAUUCCAUUGAACCCAAGAACUUCGCUUGUGAGUGUGCAACCCUAUCAUUAUGGGCAUUUGGAGAAGCUUGAGAUCGAGCGCUUGGUAGCUGAGGUACUAGUAGUUGGAAUAAUUCGCCUUAGCGCUAGUCCCUUUUCUAGCACUAUGCUCUUUGUUCGUAAGAAAGAUGGUAGCUGGAGAUUUUAUGUUGAUUAUCGAGCAUUGAAUGCAGUUACCAUUCUAGACAAAUACUUUAUACCAAUGAUUCAAGAAAUGCUAGAUAAGCUCUACAAUGCCACAUACUUUUCUAAACUGAAUUUGGCAUAUAGGUAUCAUCAAAUUUGAGUGGUUGACGUGGAUAUGCCUAAAAUGGCCUUUAGAACUCAGGGCAUUAAGAGUUUAUGGUUAUGUUAUUUGGCCUAACCAAUACCCUGACAAUGUUUCAAGUCACCAUGAAUAACCUCUUUAGAGCCUAUCUACGUUGAUUUGUGCUAGUCUUCUUCAAUGAUAUAUUAGUGUAUAGCAAAACUUGGGAGAAGUAUUUCGGUCACCUACAUGUGGUUCUACAGUCGUUGAUGAACCAAUUUAUAGUUAACAAGAAGAAAAACUUCCUAGGCCAUCGGAUUGUUGAGUAUAUGAGCCACAUAAUCUCUACUUGUGGUGUUGAAAUGGAUCCAGACAAAAUUAAUGGCAUUGUCCAAUGACCUUGGCCCAAAACGAUUAAAAUGGUCCGUGGAUUUCUCGACCUCACGGGCUGCUAUUUUUUGAUUCAUUAAGGGCUAUGUGAAGUUGGCCCAACCAUUAACCAAAUUAGUUAAAAAGGAGACCAGAGAGACUAGAGUACUUAAGCCCAACAAUCCUUCGAAGUUUGAAGAAGACGAUGGAUUAUACCCCAUUUUUGUUGCAAUUCCAAACUUCACCAAGCUUAUCGUUUUGGAGUGUGAUGCUUUUGGAAAAGGAAUAAGGGUGGUCCUGAAUGACAUCCAAUUGCUGAUUUUAACAAGACAUUAUCAAAAAGCACCUUGGCCAAGUAUGCAUAUAGUGAGGAGAUGAUGGCACUAGUUAUUGCUACGCAACAUUGGCAUCCAUAUUUGGUGGGUAGGAAAUUCAUAGUGCACACUGUAGGAAGGGGGCCGUGAGGCGAAAUAUCACAAAUUAGAAUUAUAUAAAAUGCACCA